rnacentral:rRNA from 1 species
ACUUAGGCAAAUCCGGGUGCGGAAUUCAAGGGUGUGGCGCGAGCUUCUUAGGAAGCGAAGCAAUUGGAAGUGGUUCCAAGAAAAGCCUCUAAGCUUCAGUUUAACAAUGACCGUACCGCAAACCGACACAGGUGGGCGAGAUGAGUAUUCUAAGGCGCUUGAGAGAACUCGGGAGAAGGAACUCGGCAAAUUGGUACCGUAACUUCGGGAUAAGGUACGCCCUUGUAGCUUGAUGCCCCUGCGGGCAGAGGGUGAAGGGGUUGCAAUAAACUGGUGGCUGCGACUGUUUAAUAAAAACACAGCACU